UCAACUGCUUUUCUUCAAAUUCAGAUUUAAUCCUUGAGCGAAAUGAGUCACUGGCUCAUCCAGUUAAGAUCAUCACCCACUUUCCUAACAAAACUUCUCUUCAAAGAAGGACUCGCUCAUCCAUCAGGUGCACCUCCACAGGAACAAGUCAUAUCCAUGUCAGGCGGCACCAAACCUAAAUCUGCUUCUGCCUCAGCAGACAGGACAUGUUGAGUUUGGCCAGUGAGUGCUGCAGGAUACUGGAGGGAGGACAACAGAGAGGAAGGUUGUUCCCAAGAGAACUACACAAACAAUGACUGAAUGAAGAGCAAAUAAUUAUUACAUUAACAAUUGUCUAAGUACUCUAUUUUCUAAUGCAAGACCAUCUUCCACAAGAAGCCCUUCAUUGACCUGCUCAGAUGAACUCAGCUAUGUGACCUGCAAGUUUAUUCUUCCACUUAUUACACUUACUUAUUUGUUCAGUGACUUCCCCAGGAGCAAUUAAAGCAGAAACCAUGCAUGUCUUA